rnacentral:tRNA from 2 species
GCUCCCGUAGCUCAGUGGUGAGAGCGACGGCCUUAUAAGCCGUGCGUCGCUGGUUCAAUUCCAGCCGGGAGCA